GACGAACGCUGGCGGCGUGCUUAACACAUGCAAGUCGAACGGAAAGGCCCCCUUGUGGGGUACUCGAGUGGCGAACGGGUGAGUAACACGUGAGUAACCUACCCUUGACUUUGGGAUAACUUCAGGAAACUGGGGCUAAUACCGGAUAGGAGCUCCUGCUGCAUGGUGGGGGUUGGAAAGUUUCGGCGGUUGGGGAUGGACUCGCGGCUUAUCAGCUUGUUGGUGGGGUAGUGGCUCACCAAGGCUUUGACGGGUAGCCGGCCUGAGAGGGUGACCGGCCACAUUGGGACUGAGAUACGGCCCAGACUCCUACGGGAGGCAGCAGUGGGGAAUAUUGCACAAUGGGCGGACGCCUGAUGCAGCAACGCCGCGUGCGGGAUGACGGCCUUCGGGUUGUAAACCGCUUUCGCCUGUGACGAAGCGUGAGUGACGGUAGUGGGUAAAGAAGCACCGGCUAACUACGUG
rnacentral:rRNA from 1 species